CCGAUGACUUUUUGCUAGGAACUUCAGGGUGGCAUUUAAAAACUCUGGAAAUUGGAAUCCCUUUUAAAAAGUCAUGCUGAAUAGUGUCACCUUCACAGAUCAAUUGGCCCAUCAGCUGGUCUUAAGAUAAAAUCGCCCCUCCCCGGGACAGAGUUCCUAGGAGGGUCUCUGCUCUUUGAAAGGACCACUCAGCCUUCCUUGGUCACUAUUCUCAUAAAGAAAUAUAUCUGUUUCAUCUUAUACUUUUCAAAGCACUCUCACAUCCAUUAGCCCAUUAAUUGAUUAAUUCAUUGUACACGUUUGUUGAACACACGAGGCACUUCAAAUCUUUUUAGAACAAGGCAGGAUCUAGAUAAAUAUAUGCAUACAUAUUGAAUAUCCACAAAGUGAAAUUUGCUCUGAUGGGCACUGCAGGGAGUGAGGAGGGUUUUAUAGAGAUAAAGGAAGCAUAGCCUACCAAGAGAGUCCCCUCUUCAGAUCUGUAAGUCAGAGGCACAUCUACUAUGCUGAUUUCCCAGCCGUGUAAACCAAGGGCCAGAGAGGUUAAAGGACUGCUUAUGGUCUCAAAAUGAGAGGUGGAUCUAGAAUGCACCUCCUGAUUCAAAUUGGAUAUGCUGUUUAUGCUUUCUCUCUUUUUUGCUUUCCAGAAAGUUCCAAGUUCUGAUCUCCCCUUCCCUACCUCUUUUCUUGACGUCUCUGGAACAAGCUAUCUGAAAGGAGAAAUAGUCACAUCACAAUUUUUUUUUUCUGGGCUCAUGUGAAUAUUGUUUCAGGGACAAGAAGAAAAAAAAAUUUGUCUUCUCUAUUUCCUUAAGAAGGUCAGCAAGAUGGAACAGUUGCAUUUCAUAUGCAGCCUCUCGAAGGACAUUCAUUUUCUCCAGCAGAGCCCCAGGGUGGACAAGGAGGGCCAGCUGUGUGCAGCGUCUGUUGUGUACAGCAUUCAGGACAAUGUCCUCUUGGAUCCCGAGCUCUCCACACAGACAGAGCAGAUAAAGGAAGGUCCCUCUCCUGGUCUUCCUUCCAGGGAGGCUGUUGCUGAGAGAGGUUAAGGGACCUCCCAGAGUCCUCCUCAGGUGGGAGCGGAAGGUUGGCAUUGCUGACCUCCCAUAAGCUUUUACCUGAACUUGGGCUCUGCCUGUCUUUGUUCUGAGGAAUGAGACUGCAAAGAAGCUCCCGAUCUGAAAAGGUGGCAUUUGCUAAGUUAGAAAAUGGAAGUACCACCCAGUCUGGGGGAUCCCAUAGGCACCCAAGAGUGCACCAAGCCACUAGGACCAAGCUCACCUGAGAGUCCCACCCUGCUCGGAAUAUGCAGACUUGGUGUCCUGUCGCUUUAAAGCACUCCAUGCCUGGAAAUGCCACGGCCCACAUGGAAUGGGCACAGCCAACAACUCUCCAAGGAGCCCCAGCAAUGAAUGAUGAGCAUCUCCCCUGAACCCAUCUCCCCAUGUCCGGUGUUUAAAGUGAAUUGAAAUGAAUAUCUGAUAAAUGAAUAAACCUGUAAAUGGAAUCAAAAACCUUAUGAACUUGAAGGAGAAAUAGGAGUCCCAGGUCUGUUAAGUCUAAAUUGAAUAAAUCUGAUCAACUGCCUGACAAUUUCUGCCAACAGCUUUUGAAGAGGAAGAAAAGGGGUGAGCAGAGAAAUUGGGUAGAGGAGAGGGAAGAGCGAGUGGGGUAGGGGAGGCAGGCAUGACUCAGUAAUGAAGCUAUCACCAGGAGUCCCCAGUGUUCCUUACCUGGACUAAUAAAUGGAUGACAAUAGGAGUUCCUUGCAA